rnacentral:hammerhead_ribozyme from 1 species
GCCUUGCUGAUGAGUGCCAACUAGGACGAAACCUAGGUCUAAGGC